rnacentral:rRNA from 1 species
GGUUUGGCACCUCGAUGUCGGCUCGUCGCAUCCUGGGGCUGGAGCAGGUCCCAAGGGUUCGGCCGUUCGCCGAUUAAAGCGGCACGCGAGCUGGGUUUAGAACGUCGUGAGACAGUUUGGUCUCUAUCCUCUGCGCGCGUUGGAGCCUUGAGGAGGCCUGCCCCUAGUACGAGAGGACCGGGGUGGACGGAUCUCUGGUGUGCCGGUCGUCCUGCCAAGGGCGCUGCCGGUUGGCUAAGUCCGGAUACGAUAACCGCUGAAAGCAUCUAAGCGGGAAGCGUUCUCCAAGAUGAGGGUUCCGUGAACUUCAAUGUUCGGGAAGCGGCAUAGAGAUGAUGUGCUUGAUAGGCGGGAUGUGGAAGCCCUGUGAGGGGUGGAGCUGACCCGUACUAACCGCUGAAGGGCAAUACAAC